GUAGUGGCUUUUGUGUGCUUGGUGUUUCCUUUUAAGGAUUUGCCACCUAAGAAGGUCCUCCUAGCCGAUUCGUAGCUUCGUUGAACUACGCAACAUAGUAACGGUCAUUUGGGU
rfam:Helicobacter felis ATCC 49179 genome.